rnacentral:rRNA from 1 species
CCUACGGGUGGCAGCAGUGGGGAAUAUUGGGCAAUGGAGGCAACUCUGAACCAGCAACGCCGCGUGAAGGAAGAAGGCCUUAGGGUGGUAAACUUAUGUUGUAAAGGAAGAAAAGAAUGACGGUACUUUACAAGAAAGCCCCGGCUAACUAUGGGCCAGCAGCCGCGGUAAGACAUAGGGGGCAAGCGUUGUUCGGAAUUACUGGGGGUAAAGGGAGCAUAGGCGGGAGAGUAAGUUAAGCGUGAAAGCCUUGGGGUCAACCCAAGAAAUGCUCGUGAUACUGGUUUUCUAGAGUGUGGGAGAGGUAAGCGGAAUUCCUAGUGUAGCGGUGGAAUGCGUAGAGAUUAGGAGGAACAUCAGAGGCGAAGGCGGCUUACUGGACCCUAACUGACGCUGAGGCUCGAAAGCGUGGGGAGCGAACAGGAUUAGAUACCCUAGUAGUC